UCUAGGGCGUACACACGUGCUACAAUGGGUGGUACAAAGAGCAGCUAACUCGCGAGAGUAUGCAAAUCUCAAAAAGCCAUCCUCAGUUCGGAUUGGAGUCUGCAACUCGACUCCAUGAAGUUGGAAUCGCUAGUAAUCGCGGAUCAGCAUGCCGCGGUGAAUACGUUCCCGGGCCUU
rnacentral:rRNA from 1 species